UGACCCCAUACCUUCCUAUUGGAUAUAUUCCUGGAGAAGGUACGGCCAACGGAGGUGCCUUGAUUUACUACAAGUGUGCAGGUUUUAGUAUGAUCUACGCUAUAUCAUACAAACAAUCACACUCUGUCUAGGUUAUAGAGACCAUUGCGUACUAAUGGUUCAGACUGGUUUUACCCAUGGCAGGGUGACAGGAGAUCCUGCGGCCUUCAUAGAGCAAGCGUGCACUGUCUUACCCAUGUGACAAGACUGGGGAAGGCCCACAACCCGGACUGCAGGUACACUGUACACAUAGGCCGCAUGGAAAGAACAGAAUCUUCGGUCGAUCUUGGUUGUUAACAAUCUUGGGAUAGAUGACAGGACUACCUCUGCUCCUCUGAGAACAUGAUUCAGUUAUGGAAGACCCUCUAUCUAGGCUUUUGUCCCUUACGGGAACAGUCUUUGUUGUGGUUUUCUGUUAACCCAUCUAGUCAACUACCGUCAUGGAGGCCUGCUUGGACCCUAUGACCACAGACGUCACAAGGUCGGGGCGCAAUCUACUGCUGGAGGAAUGCUCUGGAGCGGUAGCAGGCUCAGAUAUGACAGCCGACGUUCCCAAACUGGACGGCCUCUGCUUCAGACGGUUGUAGCUGGGACCUUGUUGGUUCGCUAUUCCAGUUCUUGGGAGUCUCCUAUCGUUAGUGAAGGGACUUUUAGUCUUACCUGCAUAUUUGAGAAUGCUAUGGGUUCUCGAGACUCCAGGCUAAGAAGGGAGGUAUUCCUAUAGUUUGGUUCUCGGAUUCACAUUCCUGGGUCCCUUGGCCUAGGGCCUACUCGGGGAAGAUACGUGCCCGGACAGUCAGUGAUACAGGGACCUAAGGUCUCACCAUAUUAUACCCGGUCUUGAAAGUGGCAUGCUGACCAUGAGUCCCUCCACAAACUUUGACAGGUGGGACAUGGAACAGGAUCGUAUAGAUGAUUUAUCGGAUUAUUCACUCUCCCCCUAAUCAGGCGCCAGUCUCGCAGAUGGAAGUCCAACUCCAGACCCGCUCACCAGGGCCAUUUUGUUUUUCAUCAGCCGGCCUACACUUCGAACCAAUUUAGAAGAAUUUGCGGUUCUCAACGCGAUAAGCAUGGAGGACUCUUUGUCUAUUUUCCUUGGAACCGGACCAUCUGUCACUACCCAACAAAGAUAUAUUUGGAGGGAAAUCUCAUACUCUAGUUUUGUUUCCCCCUUUUGGUUAUAUCCAGGAUGCACAGUUCCCCAGAUUAGCCGUUCGUUUCGCUACGCUAGUUCAGUGUUGGGACUCUGAUUGGACGUCCCUGGGGAGUACCUUAUUCUACCACAGUUGCGGUUUACGCAGUCCAUUUGGAGUACUGGUAGCACUCUUGCCGGCAUAAUAGGUUCAUUCUCGGACCAAACAGGUGGAUCAUGAGAGAACGAUAAGACUAUUCAGUUCGUUACCGGAAAUGACGGUAGACUCAGAUGCAUUACUUGAGGUUGGAAUUUUAUUUACAAGACCACUUCACCUAGUGAUCCCGACACGAUCGAAGGAGCCAUCUCCCACAUCAAAGGUCGAGAUCUGGUGACAGUUUUCUCUCAAUCCUAAAUCCACGGAGGACCCUCUGUGUUUUACAACUACAGGGAAACAGCUAAUAGAUCAGCUUUGCAGUUCAGGUUCGCCUACUAGGAAACGUAUCAUAAUCCCAUGUACAGUGAAUCCAACAACGAAUGGAGUUUUCCCGUAUUUGGGAUACAUUGACAGCUAGCACCUUAAUUUAUCCGUCUACUGUCACUUCUCGCAGUUGGAGGGCCCAUUGGGGAUUGCUCUGGUUAUCUCCCGGAAUAGGUACCAGCGAAACAAACAGCGUUGGAUUUGUUGACUGAGCGUUAAAACAGCAAAUACGAAGCCUCCUGUCAUGUUAUAAAAUUGUAGAUUAUGCUAGCUUUAGUGUACCUAUAUUCUUAAUUUUCUUAAUGACAGGAGGCGAAUAUUUCCCGUCCAAUUCUUAUCCCUCGUUUAAUUUUAAUAGUUUGGGUUCAUCAGGUACGUAUGCAACUCUGCUUGUUGUCUCUGCUACCUGUCACUUGUUCUUAUGUCUACGUUUCACAAGUAGGGUUGGGACAUCUACAUAUUAAGGUAUUUUUGGUUGCUACAUUGGGUACCUACAUGUUUGAUAAGGGUACAUUUCAUUGGCUAACUAACCUGUUCGAUUCUGUUUCUCGUUUCAGUUUACAGUUUACAGUCUACAGUCCAUCACGUUAUCUGGUUUGGCAGUUCUUCUCUCGGAUGGUGGACAUUGUUGUAUUCAUUGUAUCUAGGACUUUGUUUCUUCCCAUUAUAUUUUUGCCUUUUGUUCUGUUUUUGUCGCAGCUUGAAAGAGGGAAUGAUGCAUGGGGAGAGGAGUUUUAUAGUAAGUAACUUUUUUCUGAUUGGUUGUUUUUUCUGUGCUGCUGUGGAGUUCUAGUAAAGAGAGACUUAAAGGACCACUAUAGUGCCAGGAAAACACUUGUUUUCCUGGCAGAGGGUGCCCCCUGUAGCGAAUGGCACUGGACUGUCCUCAAGGGUUAGGUUAAAAAGGCAAUUUGUGUGUUUUAUUUCCCUGUAUAAUUAACAUUGUAUGUAUUAUUUGUAUGUUUGUUCGGUAGUUUUCAUCCGUAUCCCAUACGAAUGAAAGCUACUGAACCAGUAGACCACCCCAGAGAGAAGUGUGUACCUUAUUAGGCUUUCACACUUCUCUAACCGCAAAUCAAUCGUUACUUUAUUGCUGUAUCUAGGUGGCCGCCGUUCGGCAUACGAACACAUGGCAGCCGCCAUCUUACUCACUAAACCUCAGCGGUGUUUGGUCAUCGAGUGUCUGGAACUCAAAUCGGACACUCUAUUACCUGAACACCGCUGAGUCCUCCAGAGCUCCGUACCUCCCGAACAGAGGGGCCAACCAGCCCCUCGUUCGGUGAAGUCAACGUACCGAACAAUGGGAUUCAUACGAACACUGUUUUAAUAGUGGAUGGCAAAG